GCUAGUAUAGCUCAAUUGGUAGAGCAGCUGAUUUGUAAUCAGCAGGUUAUGGGUUCAAGUCCCUUUACUAGCUUAU
rnacentral:tRNA from 1 species